GGUGGAGUAGGGGAGUGGUUAUAUCACACCCGACCGUAUGUUGGGAGGCCCAGAGUUAAAAUCCCAGCUCCGCCA
rnacentral:tRNA from 1 species